rnacentral:rRNA from 1 species
UGACAGUACUCCUACGGGAGGCAGCAGUGGGGAAUAUUGCACAAUGGGCGCAAGCCUGAUGCAGCCAUGCCGCGUGUGUGAAGAAGGCCUUCGGGUUGUAAAAGCACUUUCAGUUGUGAGGAAGGUGGUGUUGUGAAUAGCAGCAUCAUUUGACGUUAGCAACAGAAGAAGCACCGGCUAACUCCGUGCCAGCAGCCGCGGUAAUACGGAGGGUGCGAGCGUUAAUCGGAAUUACUGGGCGUAAAAGCGCAUGCAGGUUGGUUUGUUAAAGUCAGAUGUGAAAACGCCCCGGGCUCAAACCUGGAAUUGCAUUUGAAAACUGGCAAAACUAGAGUACUGUAGAGGGGGUAGAAUUUCAGGUGUAGCGGUGAAAAUGCGUAGAGAUCUGAAGGAAUACCGGUGGCGAAGGCGGCCCCCUGGACAGAUACUGACACUCAGAUGCGAAAGCGUGGGGACGCAAACAGGAUUAGACUACCCCUGGUAG